rnacentral:sRNA from 2 species
UGGCGCAGGGAUGUGCCGUCCAAAAUCCAUUCCCAUUCGCUUUGAGAUACGUCUCUCGUGUUUUCGCCCUAUGGAAGCUUUUGCCCUAAAUUUAACUUUAGGCGUCGAAGCCAAGCCCCUGCAUUGGCCCUAAGUCAAAUAAUAACGUUCUCCAACGUUCUUCGGUCUUGCUGAUGCGAACCAAGGGUAUUGACAAGGGCCUCCGGUAGGGGUCAACAGGGACUCCUCAACAUACGCAGCAUGCCGGUCGGUUAUCCAUACCAGAACGAGGUCGACAAGCGAAGUAGACUCAAUCUCCUUGACGUGCUAGAUGAUGGUGCAGGGCAUCGGCGUGCAAGGCGAGGAAGAGCACACUGAAUGAAAUAAGCAAACAAAAAGAGAAAGGAGAAAAGAAAAUAUCUGAUAUCGUAGCGCUUUGCGGUGUAACUGUUGAGCCGGUCCCCUUUUUCCAACAUUUUGAUCUGCGUUUCGCAAUUUUGAUACUAUAUCUGCGGGGUACAUCAACGAGGGAACGGGAAGGAUGAAGCGGCCCGCCCGUUUACUGGCUAGAAACUCUGUGAAAACUAAACUGCGAAAACUGAAAUCCAAGCUUGGAAGAAUUUGCUGCAGCUUCACGCGGAAUUGUUGCCAG